rnacentral:rRNA from 1 species
AAUGGAAGGCGACGUGACGGAGGAUCAUUACCGAGUAACUUUUGGGACUGGGUUGUCGCUGGCCUUUUUAAAAAGAAAGGGUAUUGUGCACGCCUAGUUUCAAAAUCCCACUCUUCAUAUACCCCCUGUGCACCUAUGGUAGGCUUUUGAAGUGACUGCAAAGUCGUUCAAUGCCUGCAUUUAUUACCUACUCCAAAACAGUACUAGAAUGCAUUAGUGCGAUGUAACGCAUUUAUAUACAACUUUCAGCAACGGAUCUCUUGGCUCUCGCAUCGAUGAAGAACGCAGCGAAAUGCGAUAAGUAAUGUGAAUUGCAGAAUUCAGUGAAUCAUCGAAUCUUUGAACGCACCUUGCGCUCCUUGGUAUUCCGAGGAGCAUGCCUGUUUGAGUGUCAUUAUAUCAUCAACCUAACUAGCCUUUUUAAAAGGCUGAUAGUUAGGCUUGGACUUGGAGGGACUUAAUUGCAGACUCCUUUUUAAAAGGAGAUCGGCUCCUCUUAAAUGCAUUAGCUUGAUCCCCUUGCUGAUCGGCUUGUCGGUGUGAUAAUGUCUACGCCGCGACCGAGAGAGAAAGCAUUUGGCGAGCUUCUAACUGUCCCUAUUAACUGGGACAAGAACACUUUAUUGUGACCUCUGACCUCAAGUCAGGUAGGACUACCCGCUGAACUUAAGCAUAUCAAUAAGCCCGGGGGAAAAAG